GAAGCCAGCAAGACAGUAUGGGUGCUUCUAAUUUGUGGUCUCCAGAGAGGAAAUUUUGUCUAAGAAUUUUUUUUUUUGAGAGAUCAGUUGGACAAGAACAUCCCUUCAAGUUACUAGAAGAAGAAUGGACCUUUUUGAUGUCACUGUUAUUCCAGAAAGAAUCUCUGGCAUGCUCCCCUCCAGCUAACGUCAGAAAGAAAAGGGGGCCCUUGCAAAUCACUCCAGCAAAAAAAAGUAAGCUAAACCAUUAUUGGUUAGAGACCAAGACAUGACUGCAAGCACAAAGGUGGACAUAUGCCCAAGACUUGCCAAUCAUUUUAUCCCCUGAACCUAGACAUUAUGGUCAUCUGGUCAUAAAAUGUGUUCAAAGAUAAAUGCCU
rnacentral:lncRNA from 1 species